CCCUUAGAUGUUCUGGGCCGCACACGCGCUACACUGACGGAGGCAGCGUGUACUCCUGGAUCGAAAGAUUUGGGUAACCCGCGAAUCUCCUUCGUGCUAGGGAUUGAGGUUUGCAAUUAUCCUUCAUGAACGAGGAAUUCCCAGUAAGUGCAAGUCAUAAGCUUGCGCUGACUACGUCCCUGCCCUUUGUACACACCGCCCGUCGCUACUACCGAUUGAAUGAUUUAGUGAGGACUUCGGACUGGGACCGAUGCGGCUUUCGGGCUGCGUCGGUAUUCUGGAAAGAUGUCCAAACUGUAUCAUUUAGAGGAAGUAAAAGUCGUAACA
rnacentral:rRNA from 1 species